CAGUAGCCGCGGGAAUACAGAGGGUGCGAGCGUUAAUCGGAUUUACUGGGCGUAAAGCGUGCGUAGGCGGCUUCUUAAGUCGGAUGUGAAAUCCCUGAGCUUAACUUAGGAAUUGCAUUCGAUACUGGGAAGCUAGAGUAUGGGAGAGGAUGGUAGAAUUCCAGGUGUAGCGGUGAAAUGCGUAGAGAUCUGGAGGAAUACCGAUGGCGAAGGCAGCCAUCUGGCCUAAUACUGACGCUGAGGUACGAAAGCAUGGGGAGCAAACAGGAUUAGAUACCCCAGUAGUCCAUGUCUCUUAUAC
rnacentral:rRNA from 1 species